rnacentral:lncRNA from 1 species
GCCAUGUUGGGAUAUUUGUGAGGACCACUUAUUUUGUUUUAUAUAUUUUUUUAUUAUAUAUAUAGUAAAGAAUGGAGACUGGCAGUUGACUUUGCUGAAGAAAAGUCUCUUCCAAUGGAUUGUCAAUUUCUCCACAACAAGUGCUUUGUCUAAUACAUUACACCAACUUUGAGAAAAACAAGAUCCAGAUUGAAGCUGGGAAGAGGAGUAUAAAAGGUUGUGGUGGAGGAUGAUGAGACUCGUGAAAGAGAUGCUAUUCUUGCUCCAGCUUCAAUGAACUUGUAAGUAGAUUUGAAAAUGAGCGCCGACUUCCUCAUGAUCAAACUAGAUUUACC